UACGGAGGGUGCAAGCGUUAUCCGGAUUCACUGGGCUUAAAGGGCGCGUAGGCGGGCAGGUAAGUCAGUGGUGAAAUCCUAGAGCUUAACUCUAGAACUGCCAUUGAUACUAUCUGUCUUGAAUAUUGUGGAGGUAAGCGGAAUAUGUCAUGUAGCGGUGAAAUGCUUAGAUAUGACAUAGAACACCUAUUGCGAAGGCAGCUUACUGCGCAUAUAUUGACGCUGAGGCACGAAAGCGUGGGGAUCAAACAGG
rnacentral:rRNA from 1 species